rnacentral:lncRNA from 12 species
AACAGAGAUGGCACAGGACAUCCGUCUCCGGGGACAAAACAGAGCUAGGGCAGAGCUGGGCUCAGGCAGAGACCCCAGGCCCUGCUCUGGGCCCGCAUCACCAACGGCACGGCUUCCCCAGGGACUCGUGGGCCUCCAGGCAGGGAGUCACAGGCUGUCUGAGGAUCAAGGAGCUGAGCAUACAGCGCCCAGCGCAUUCCCGACAGAUGAUUCAUGGAGUCAGGCGGGGCGUCCAGCCCCGAAGUCUGUGCCUGAUGAGUUCACUCAGCACCGUGGUGACCUGGCUCCAAUGCCCGCCUGGCCUUCACCUGCUGCCGUCCCUCUCAGCCCUGCCCAUGCAGGCCUGGGCUCCUCCUUGGGCAGGCCCUCCUGCUGGCAUGCUCUCCCCAGAGCUCCAGAGCUCCACCUGCUGCUUCUGGGGACACAGCCCAGACUCCCUCCUCCCACCCGAGCCACUGGGUCUCCGACAGGUGACCCUGUCAAAAUUGACCUAUAGGACUGGUCCCCGGAGGUGAGUCACCUAACGAAAGGCAUGGAAAAGGAGAGGCUGGGCCCUUGAUUGAACAAAUUUCCUUUAGAGACACUGGGAGGGACCAAGGGGGCAGAUUUGAUUGUGGAUGGAACGAAUGACAUUAGGGCAUCGUGGUUAAUAUCAGGAAAUGUGACAGUUUGUUGUCUGGUAGGAAGUGUCCUUAUUCUUUUUUUUUAAAGAGUUUACUUACUUACUUACUUACUUAUUUUUAAAUCAUUUUUGAUAGUUUCAGUUUGGAGUUCUUUUUUUUAUUUUUUUUUUUUUUAAGACUUUAUUUAAGAGACAGAGAGAGGCAGAGACACAAGCAGGCUCCAUGCCCGGAGCCCGAUGUGGGACUCAAUCCCGAGUCUCCAGGAUCACACCCUGGGCCGAAGGCAGGCACCAAACCGCUGAGCCACCCAGGGAUCCCAAGAGUUUACUUAUUUAUUUGAGAGAGAGAGAGAGAGCAUGAGCAGAGGAAGAGGGAGAAGCAGGUUCCCAGGCUCCUGGGAUCAUGACCUGAGCCAAAGGCAGAAGCUUCACUGACUGAGCCACUCAGGGGCCCCUGAAAAUGUCCUUAUUCUUUUUUAAAAAAUAUUUUAUUUGAUUUAUUCAUGAGACACACAGGGAGAGAGGCAGAGACACAGGCAGAGGGAGAAGCAGGCUCCCUCUGGGGAGCCCGAUGCAGGACUCGAUCCUAGGACCCCAGGAUCAGGACCUGAGCUGAAGGCAGACGCUCAACCACUGAGCCACCCAGGCAUCCCAAAUGUCCUUAACAAGACAUAUAAAGCACUGAGGAGUAACAUGUCACAAUGUCUGUAUUUUACUUUAAAACUGCUUUGGUGGGACGCCUGGGUGGCUCAGCGGUUUGGCACCUGCCUUCAGCCCCGAGUGUGAUCCUGGAGUACCGGGAUCAAGUCCCACAUCAGGGUUCUUGCAUGCAGCCUGCUUCUCCCUUUGCCUGUGUCUCUGCCAAUCUCUCUCUCUCUCUCUUUCUCUGUCUCUCAUGAAUAAAUAAGUAAAAUCUUUUUUUAAAAAAAAAGAC